AAAAAUUUUAAGCGGAAAAUGAAAAAAUGUGUUAUACUUUUUGCCCAAAUCCAAUUUUUCUUUCUUUCACCUCAUUCUUUUCUCUCCGCCCAAGUCACUUUGACAAUUAGCCUCCAUCGUACAACUCCACCUCCAUCUCCAUCACAACCUUUGUUUUCUUCUCUCCCCUAAUUUGAAAUAUUAACCCUCCCUAUCUUCUCUAUGUAGAUUUAUACUACUUUAAAGCUUUGAAUGAUAUAUGUAAAGAUGACUGAGCAAGAGAUUUGCAGAGAAAAAGAUUAAGGGCUAAAAAGGAUAAAACUUUAGAAGGGAAUACAUUUAUUUCCAAGAAAGUUGACAACAAGAAGAAAAAGAAACUUAAGAAGGUGGAAGAUAAGAUGCUUGGAUGGGGUGGUCGUGAUGAUGCAAAGUUGUCUAUUCCAGCUACUGUUGUUCUUCGUUACAUGUUCAUGCCUGCUGAAAUAAGGGUAGGUUAAA